rnacentral:pre_miRNA from 1 species
ACAUUACUCCCUCCGAUCCAUGUUACUUGUCGCUCAGUCGGAUGUAUCUAGAUGCAUUUCAGUGCUAGAUACAUCCGUUUGAGUGACAAGUAAUAUGAAUCGGAGGGAGUACAAC